CUCUGUUUCAGUAGAUGAUUCAGGGCAAAGGAG
rnacentral:ncRNA from 1 species